rnacentral:lncRNA from 1 species
GAUAGCUUGGCUAUAUACAUGAGGUACCAGUACCUAGUCAAUGAUAGCUUGGCUAUAUACAUGGGGUACCAGUACCUAGUCAAUGAUAGCUUGGCUAUAUACAUGUGGUACCAGUACCUAGUCAAUGAUAGCUUGGCUAUAUACAUGGGGUACCAGAACCAAGUCAAUGAUAGUUUGGCUAUAUACAUGGGGUCAGAACCAAGUCAAUGAUAGCUUGGCUAUAUACAUGGGGUACCAGAACCAAGUCAAUGAUAGCUUGGCUAUAUACAUGGGGUACCAGUACCAAGUCAAAAAUAGUUGCCAAAUGAUGACCGGGAAGUGGCCAGUCUUUAGAGCAGGGCUCUCCAACCCUGUUCCUGGAGAGCUACCGUCCUGUAGGUUUUAACUCCAACCCUGUUCUUGGAGAGCUACCGUCCUGUAGGUUUUAACUCCAACCCUGUUCCUGGAGAGCUACCAUCCUGUAGGUUUUAACUCCAACCCUGUUCCUGGAGAGCUACCNNNNNNNNNNNNNNNNNNNNNNNNNUCAAGUUUAUUAUAUCUCUCUCUCUUUGUCUGGUCCGUUUAUUAUAUCUCUCUCUCUUUGUCUGGUCAGUUAAUUAUAUCCUCUCUUCCUCUUUGUCUGGUCAGUUUAUUAAAUCUCUCUCUCUUUGUCUGGUCAGUUAUAUAUCUCUCUCUCUUUGUCUGGUCAGUUUAUAUAUCUCUGCUCUCUUGUCAUGGUCAGUUUAUCAAUCUACUCUCUCUUUGUCUGGUCAGUUUCAUUAUAUUCUCUCUCUUUGUCUGGUCAGUUUAUUAUAUCUCUCUCUCUUUGUCUGGUCAGUUUUUUAUAUCUCUCUCUCUUUGUCUGGUCAGUUUAUUAUAUCUCUCUCUCUUUGUCUGGUCAGUUUAUUUAUAUCUCUCUCUCUUGUCUGGUCAGUUUCUUAUAUCUCUCUCUCUUUGUCUGGUCAGUUUAUUAUAUCUCUCUCUCUUUGUCUAGUCGAGUUAGUAUCUGCUCUCUGUCUGGUUCAGUUUAUUAUAUCUCUCUCGGUCUUUGUCGGUGUCAGUUUAUAUACUCUCUCUCUCUUUGUCUAGUAGUUUUUUUAUAUUCUUCUCUGUCUGGUCAGUUUAUAUACUCUCUCCUUGUCUGGUCAGUUUAUUUAUCUCUCCUCUCUUUGUCUAGUCAGUUUUUUAUAUCUCUCCUGUCUGGUCAGUUUAUUUAUCACUCUCUCUUUGUCUGGUCAGUUUAUUAAUCCUCUCUCUUUGUCACUGGUCAGUUUAUUAUAUCCUCUCUUCCUCUUUUGUUCUAGUCAGUUUUAUUAUAUCUCUCUGUCUAGUCAAGUUUAUUAUACUCUCUCUCUCUUUGGUCUGGUCAGUUUAUUAUAAUCUGUCUGGUCAGUUUAUAUAUCUACUCUGUUCUGGUCAGUUUAUUAAAUCUCUCAUGCUCUUUGUCUGGUAGUUUCACUCUCACUUCACUCUCACUCCUCUCUUUGGUCUGGUCAGUUUAUUAUAUCUGUCUGGUCAGUUUCUUUAUCUCUCUCUCUUUG